GUCCCAUUCGUCUAGAGGCCUAGGACACCGCCCUUUCACGGCGGCAACAGGGGUUCGAAUCCCCUAUGGGACGCCA
rnacentral:tRNA from 3 species